rnacentral:tRNA from 1 species
GUGGUUUUAGUUUAACAAAAAUAUCCGCUUUGCAAGCAGAAGAUCUAAGUUACUUCUUAGAUACCACA